UCCUACACAAGCAAGUAAGAGUAAUCUCCAGUGAAGUACCUGAACCAGACAAGAAGUGAACAUGUCCUCACCUUACCAUCUUUUAAACUGCUGGAUGAAAUCCGUUCUGCUGUUACUAGCCACUGCACCAAGUCAAGUUCACUGAGCCCUUGCACACCAUGGACAUCUGAAUAUCUAGCUUUGUUUUAUUCAUUACAGUUAAAAUUUCAAAUAAUAAAACUGCAUUUUACAAUAAAGAAAUCAGUUUUAUUGAAGGCAGGACUAAACUACAUGAAAUACUCUUAUGAGAUUGUACUUCUGUCUUAUAUCUGUUGGACUAGUUUUUAGGGAAACAUUAUUCUCUGAUGCAAUUGUUUUAUCGUGUCCCUUUCACUCAACUGUUUCUAUACAUAAAAGUAAAAUAGUCCUCCAUUACUUCUAACAAGUUAUGCAUAUGGUCACGUUAUUUCAAGAGAUCAUGCUUAAGAGGUAUUUUGUAAACAAAUUAGAAGUUGUUACAG